GUUAUAUGGUCAAGUGAAGAAGCGCAUACGGUGGAUGCCUUGGCAGUCAGAGGCGAUGAAAGACGUGGUAGCCUGCGAAAAGCUUCGGGGAGUCGGCAAACAGACUUUGAUCCGGAGAUCUCUGAAUGGGGGAACCCACCUAGGAUAACCUAGGUAUCUUGUACUGAAUCCAUAGGUACAAGAGGCGAACCAGGGGAACUGAAACAUCUAAGUACCCUGAGGAAAAGAAAUCAACCGAGAUUCCCUUAGUAGUGGCGAGCGAACGGGGAUUAGCCCUUAAGCUUCAUUGAUUUUAGCGGAACGCUCUGGAAAGUGCGGCCAUAGUGGGUGAUAGCCCCGUACGCGAAAGGAUCUUUGAAGUGAAAUCGAGUAGGACGGAGCACGAGAAACUUUGUCUGAACAUGGGGGGACCAUCCUCCAAGGCUAAAUACUACUGACUGACCGAUAGUGAACCAGUACCGUGAGGGAAAGGCGAAAAGAACCCCGGAGAGGGGAGUGAAAUAGAACCUGAAACCGUAUGCGUACAAGCAGUGGGAGCCUACUUGUUAGGUGACUGCGUACCUUUUGUAUAAUGGGUCAGCGACUUAUAUUCAGUGGCAAGCUUAACCGUAUAGGGUAGGCGUAGCGAAAGCGAGUCUUAAUAGGGCGUUUAGUCGCUGGGUAUAGACCCGAAACCGGGCGAUCUAUCCAUGAGCAGGUUGAAGGUUAGGUAACACUGACUGGAGGACCGAACCCACUCCCGUUGAAAAGGUAGGGGAUGACUUGUGGAUCGGAGUGAAAGGCUAAUCAAGCUCGGAGAUAGCUGGUUCUCCUCGAAAGCUAUUUAGGUAGCGCCUCAUGUAUCACUCUGGGGGGUAGAGCACUGUUUCGGCUAGGGGGUCAUCCCGACUUACCAAACCGAUGCAAACUCCGAAUACCCAGAAGUGCCGAGCAUGGGAGACACACGGCGGGUGCUAACGUCCGUCGUGAAAAGGGAAACAACCCAGACCGCCAGCUAAGGUCCCAAAGUUGUGGUUAAGUGGUAAACGAUGUGGGAAGGCUUAGACAGCUAGGAGGUUGGCUUAGAAGCAGCCACCCUUUAAAGAAAGCGUAAUAGCUCACUAGUCGAGUCGGCCUGCGCGGAAGAUGUAACGGGGCUCAAACCACACACCGAAGCUGCGGGUGUCACGUAAGUGACGCGGUAGAGGAGCGUUCUGUAAGCCUGUGAAGGUGAGUUGAGAAGCUUGCUGGAGGUAUCAGAAGUGCGAAUGCUGACAUGAGUAACGACAAUGGGUGUGAAAAACACCCACGCCGAAAGACCAAGGGUUCCUGCGCAACGUUAAUCGACGCAGGGUUAGUCGGUUCCUAAGGCGAGGCUGAAAAGCGUAGUCGAUGGGAAACAGGUUAAUAUUCCUGUACUUCUGGUUACUGCGAUGGAGGGACGGAGAAGGCUAGGCCAGCUUGGCGUUGGUUGUCCAAGUUUAAGGUGGUAGGCUGAAAUCUUAGGUAAAUCCGGGGUUUCAAGGCCGAGAGCUGAUGACGAGUCGUCUUUUAGAUGACGAAGUGGUUGAUGCCAUGCUUCCAAGAAAAGCUUCUAAGCUUCAGGUAACCAGGAACCGUACCCCAAACCGACACAGGUGGUCGGGUAGAGAAUACCAAGGCGCUUGAGAGAACUCGGGUGAAGGAACUAGGCAAAAUGGCACCGUAACUUCGGGAGAAGGUGCGCCGGCUAGGGUGAAGGAUUUACUCCGUAAGCUCUGGCUGGUCGAAGAUACCAGGCCGCUGCGACUGUUUAUUAAAAACACAGCACUCUGCAAACACGAAAGUGGACGUAUAGGGUGUGACGCCUGCCCGGUGCCGGAAGGUUAAUUGAUGGGGUUAGCGCAAGCGAAGCUCUUGAUCGAAGCCCCGGUAAACGGCGGCCGUAACUAUAACGGUCCUAAGGUAGCGAAAUUCCUUGUCGGGUAAGUUCCGACCUGCACGAAUGGCGUAACGAUGGCGGCGCUGUCUCCACCCGAGACUCAGUGAAAUUGAAAUCGCUGUGAAGAUGCAGUGUAUCCGCGGCUAGACGGAAAGACCCCGUGAACCUUUACUGUAGCUUUGCACUGGACUUUGAGCCUGCUUGUGUAGGAUAGGUGGGAGGCUUUGAAGCGUGGACGCCAGUUCGCGUGGAGCCAUCCUUGAAAUACCACCCUGGCAUGCUUGAGGUUCUAACUCUGGUCCGUAAUCCGGAUCGAGGACAGUGUAUGGUGGGCAGUUUGACUGGGGCGGUCUCCUCCUAAAGAGUAACGGAGGAGUACGAAGGUGCGCUCAGACCGGUCGGAAAUCGGUCGCAGAGUAUAAAGGCAAAAGCGCGCUUGACUGCGAGACAGACACGUCGAGCAGGUACGAAAGUAGGUCUUAGUGAUCCGGUGGUUCUGUAUGGAAGGGCCAUCGCUCAACGGAUAAAAGGUACUCCGGGGAUAACAGGCUGAUACCGCCCAAGAGUUCAUAUCGACGGCGGUGUUUGGCACCUCGAUGUCGGCUCAUCACAUCCUGGGGCUGAAGCCGGUCCCAAGGGUAUGGCUGUUCGCCAUUUAAAGUGGUACGCGAGCUGGGUUUAGAACGUCGUGAGACAGUUCGGUCCCUAUCUGCCGUGGACGUUUGAGAUUUGAGAGGGGCUGCUCCUAGUACGAGAGGACCGGAGUGGACGAACCUCUGGUGUUCCGGUUGUCACGCCAGUGGCAUUGCCGGGUAGCUAUGUUCGGAAAAGAUAACCGCUGAAAGCAUCUAAGCGGGAAACUUGCCUCAAGAUGAGAUCUCACUGGGAACUUGAUUCCCCUGAAGGGCCGUCGAAGACUACGACGUUGAUAGGCUGGGUGUGUAAGCGUUGUGAGGCGUUGAGCUAACCAGUACUAAUCGCCCGUGAGGCUUGACCAUAUAACACCCAAACA
rnacentral:rRNA from 1 species